rnacentral:rRNA from 1 species
GAUCAUGGCUCAGAUUGAACGCUGGCGGCAUGCUUUACACAUGCAAGUCGGACGGCAGCACAGAGAAGCUUGCUUCUUGGGUGGCGAGUGGCGAACGGGUGAGUAAUAUAUCGGAACGUACCGAGUAAUGGGGGGAUAACUAAUCGAAAGAUUAGCUAAUACCGCAUAUUCUCUGAGGAGGAAAGCAGGGGACCUUCGGGCCUUGCGUUAUUCGAGCGGCCGAUAUCUGAUUAG